rnacentral:rRNA from 1 species
ACCGCCCGUCACACCAUGGGAGUGUAUUGCACAAGAAGUAGCUAGUCUAACCUUCGGGAGGACGGUUACCACUGUGUGGUAUAUGACUGGGGUG